AUCCCUUUGCUGUCCCUGCCUUAUCCAAGUUCCAGGCAUAGGAUGACAAAGGGAAGCC
ensembl:miRNA